AGUUGGCUUUGUCUACAGUGCAUGGAUGAUGGAUCUGAAAGAACUGGAAACAGGACUUGAGACAUCUCUAGAGCAUAAACAAAAAUAGUAACAGAAAGGAUUCUGAAAAAUCAUCAAAUCAGGAGAUAUUUAGAAGGAUGUGUCCUUGCUGUUCCCUCAGCCUUCUUUGAACUUCCCUGGCACUUGGAUUAUUGACCUCUUCUCACCACUCAGUUUCAGCUCCAUGUCACCUUUCCACAGACACACUCUUGUACCCCACUUACCUAUCUCUCAUCCCUAUAUAGGACAAGAGGAAGCCUCCAGCCUCUUUGGGGAGCCUUGAGUGCUGCCCAUGGCAUCAUCCA